rfam:Triticum aestivum genome assembly, contig: Triticum_aestivum_CS42_TGACv1_scaffold_327833_4BS
UUUGUACUCCCUCCGUCCGGAAUUACUUGUCGCAUAAAUGGAUAUAAAUGGAUGUAUCUAGAACUAAAAUACGUCUAGAUACAUCCAUUUCUCCGACAAGUAUUUCCAGAUGGAGGGAGUAUGAU